UUGGUGACUCAGUGCAACUGGUCCUGAGGCUGGUGUGUGCGUGAUUCACUGAUGGAAGACCCUGGGAAGGUAUGUGAGGAUCAGGGACCACAACCCUCACUGGUCUUGAUAGCUAGGCCGGCUCCUGCCCCUCGGAGUAGACUUUGCACCCACCCCUCUGCUUGUUCCUCAAGUUUUCAUUCUACAGCACCUCCUGCCAUGGUCAGACCUGCUUUUUAGAUGAUCUACUUUCUGUGAGCCUGGCCUAUCUAAGUCUUGACCCUUCUCCCUAGCUGGAGACAAACUGUAUCUUCUCUUGCCCACUUUGUGCCUCUGGCCCUGACCUUAAAGAUGGCUUUUCUUAAUGUCCCUCCUCCCUUUAAACUCCUAAACCUGGACUUCUAGCGCUUCAUGUGGCAGGAGAUUUGUCCCCAUUUACCUUAGGAGGUCUAGGGGUGCCUCUGGAGGAGGUACAGAUAGGGACUCUAUGCCCUGUGGACCUCUGAAUUCUCACUGCCAAGAGGUUCACCUGGUGCUGGGUAGAGGACACUCCAUGCUCAGUAGCUUGAAGGCACAGUGGGAGACUUACAGAGAACAUCUGGAAUACUUCUCCAGGGGCUCAGUUCCUUGGCUCCAGGAAGUGAUGCUACCCUAGGCCCCCCACACCCCCAACUUGUUUUUAACUAAUUAAACUUUACUGGUUUUACUUAA